UGAAAUGCAGGAACUUCGAGCUGAGCAGUCAGCCCAGUCAUGGAUUGGACGGGGGAGAUGGAGACUGGAGAAGAGAAAAGCCAGGAGGAGCAGAUAAUGGCACCGGAAGCGGAUGCCAUUUGUCUGCGCAAGCUUCGGGGAACAGGGAAGAACUUGUCUCUGGCACCUGAAUUUUUCAACUAGCUUUGGGGGCAGAGGAGAGAGAGGAUCCUACGGAGCAGAGCUUCUUAGACGUGGCCUACACAGGAUCAAGGAGAAACACUUUCCCAGCUUUGUUCAUGGUGUGGUCCCUCCAUUCCCUACUGAUCUGAAAUGCUGUGACUGUUAAUGUGCCGACAUUUCGUAGAUAUGUGGGCCUGUUUCCGGGCUCCCUACCCAUUGGUCGUCAUAUGUAUCCCAGUGCCUGUACCACUGCUUCAUUUACUGCUGCUUCAAAUAAGUCCUGAUAUGGGUAUGUUAAGUGAAGACUCAAA